rnacentral:rRNA from 1 species
GGGUUGUGAGGUUAAGCGACUAAGCGUACACGGUGGAUGCCCUGGCAGUCAGAGGCGAUGAAGGACGUGCUAAUCUGCGAAAAGCGUCGGUAAGGUGAUAUGAACCGUUACAGCCGGCGAUGUCCGAAUGGGGAAACCCAGUGCAAUUCGUUGCACUAUCGUUAACUGAAUACAUAGGUUAACGAGGCGAACCGGGGGAACUGAAACAUCUAAGUACCCCGAGGAAAAGAAAUCAACCGAGAUUCCCCCAGUAGCGGCGAGCGAACGGGGAGCAGCCCAGAGUCUGAAUCAGCUUGUGUGUUAGUGGAACGGUCUGGAAAGUCCGACGGUACAGGGUGAUAGUCCCGUACACCAAAAUGCACAGGUUGUGAACUCGAAGAGUAGGGCGGGACACGUGGUAUCCUGUCUGAAUAUGGGGGGACCAUCCUCCAAGGCUAAAUACUCCUGACUGACCGAUAGUGAACCAGUACCGUGAGGGAAAGGCGAAAAGAACCCCGGCGAGGGGAGUGAAAAAGAACCUGAAACCGUGUACGUACAAGCAGUGGGAGCACCUUUAUGGUGUGACUGCGUACCUUUUGUAUAAUGGGUCAGCGACUUAUAUUCUGUAGCAAGGUUAACCGUAUAGGGGAGCCGCAGGGAAACCGAGUCUUAACUGGGCGUUAAGUUGCAGGGUAUAGACCCGAAACCCGGUGAUCUAGCCAUGGGCAGGUUGAAGGUUGGGUAACACUAACUGGAGGACCGAACCGACUAAUGUUGAAAAAUUAGCGGAUGACUUGUGGCUGGGGGUGAAAGGCCAAUCAAACCGGGAGAUAGCUGGUUCUCCCCGAAAGCUAUUUAGGUAGCGCCUCGUGAACUCAUCUUCGGGGGUAGAGCACUGUUUCGGCUAGGGGGUCAUCCCGACUUACCAACCCGAUGCAAACUACGAAUACCGAAGAAUGUUAUCACGGGAGACACACGGCGGGUGCUAACGUCCGUCGUGAAGAGGGAAACAACCCAGACCGCCAGCUAAGGUCCCAAAGUCAUGGUUAAGUGGGAAACGAUGUGGGAAGGCACAGACAGCCAGGAUGUUGGCUUAGAAGCAGCCAUCAUUUAAAGAAAGCGUAAUAGCUCACUGGUCGAGUCGGCCUGCGCGGAAGAUGUAACGGGGCUAAACC